GACGAACGCUGGCGGCGUGCUUAACACAUGCAAGUCGAGCGGUAAGGCCCUUUCGGGGGUACACGAGCGGCGAACGGGUGAGUAACACGUGGGUGACCUGCCCUCAGCUCUGGGAUAAGCCUGGGAAACCGGGUCUAAUACUGGAUAUGACUCCAUGACGCAUGUUGUGGGGUGGAAAGCCUUGUGCGGCUGAGGAUGGGCCCGCGGCCUAUCAGCUUGUUGGUGGGGUGAUGGCCUACCAAGGCGA
rnacentral:rRNA from 1 species